UGUCAGGAAAAGAGAAGCCCAAAAUACUCGUCACAAGGCACACAACCAGGAGAUGAACACAGAGCAAAGAUGGAAACAAAACAGAGAAGAGGGUGGGGCUAUCAAGGUGGCCGGGAGGCAGGCAACAGAGAGGAGUUUGGUGAGCAGGAUGGGACAAAACUUAACUGACUGGAGGCUGCUACUGCAUCUGAGAGAUCCUGGACCCCUGACAAGAGCCAGCAGGAGAUUAGCAGGAGAAAAUAUUGGUGAAGCUAGCUUCCUGACCUCAGCAACUCUGGGAUAUUUGCUGUGAGUACUUGUUGGUUUAUUGAUCCUCGUCCUCUCAGAGAUGGUCACUAUUGUUCCUUGUCUCUGUCUUUGUGUCUGUGUCUUGAUAGCUUGGCUUUGUGAUGUUUUCAGUCUCCACCAUCCAGAAGAUGCAUAUAUCUGUGUGCAUCUUGGUGGCCAAUUGAGUAGACUCAGGUCUGAGACACACUCUCUCUGUCAGGCUGUAUCAGCUCUCAGGGGAGUUUGUCAUAAGAGGUCCUAGUUGCUUUCAUAAGGGUCCUUUGUCAUCUCAACAUUUGUUGUUUGUUAAUGCUGGUCUUACUGCCUGUGCAAUGAAGGCCUUUGCUUUCUUAGACUAUUUUGGGGAGUGAACUUUCUGGAUCUUGUGAGGGCUUCUUGUCUUGCACUCUCUUUUGGGGAUGCCUCUUGUGUCCAUGGUUAAGCCAUAAAGUUUUGAAGCUGGAUACUGGAGGGUUACUAUAAAUGUUCAGUAAGAUUACCUUUCCAGAUGUUCUCAACACAGACAUAGAUGAAAAGAAAUUAAUCUUGUCAACUUGCUGUUUUCUUGUUUAACCUGAGGGGUGACUCAAGGGUCACAAGAAUUUAUGAGCUUGUUUUACAGAAGGAAAAGCAUGCCUUCAAGGAUCGCUAGAUAAGCAGUCCCCAGCUGCUGUUGAUGCCCAGAAGUCAGAUGGCCCAGGGGCUUUAUGGGGAGUGAAAGAAACAUGGAUUACCCCUUUGUUUCUCCGAAACUCUUCCUGCCAAACCCCUUAGCUCUAUAAAACCCCUGCUUCCUUCUCUUGUUAAGGUGGAUUUGAGAGAACCCAUCCUUCCGACUUCUCUUUUGGUCAAUUCAAAUAAACCUUUCUCCAUCUCCAAG